GCCGCGGUAAUACCGGCGCCCCAAGUGGUAGUCGCUUUUAUUGGGCCUAAAACGUCCGUAGCCGGUCUGGUACAUUCGUGGGUAAAUCAACCAGCUCAACUGGUUGAAUUCUGCGAGCACGGCCAGACUUGGGACCGGGAGAGGUGUGGGGUACUCUCAGGGUAGGGGUAAAAUCCUGUCAUCCUGAGAGGACCACCUGUUGCGAAGGCGCCACACUAGAACGGAUCCGACGGUCAGGGACGAAGCCUAGGGGCACGAACCGGAUUAGAUACCCGGGUAGUCCUAGGUGUAAACGCUGUGGACUUGAUGUUGGGGGCGCUCCGAGCGCACUCAGUGUCGAAGCGAAGGUGAUAAGUCCACUGCCUGGGGAGUACGGUCGCAAGGCUGAAACUAAAGGAAUUGGCGGGGGAGCACGGUCUG
rnacentral:rRNA from 1 species